rnacentral:rRNA from 1 species
AGGUUAAGUUAAUAAGGGCGCACGGUGGAUGCCUUGGCACUAGAAGCCGAUGAAGGACGUGACUAACGACGAAAUGCUUUGGGGAGCUGUAAGUGAGCAAUGAUCCAGAGAUGUCCGAAUGGGGGAACCCGGCAGGUAAUGCCUGUCACUCAUUACUGUUAAGGUAAUGUAGAGGAAGACGCAGUGAACUGAAACAUCUAAGUAGCUGUAGGAAGAGAAAGCAAAAGCGAUUGCCUUAGUAACGGCGAGCGAAACGGCAAGAGGGCAAACCGAAGAGUUUACUCUUCGGGGUUGUAGGACUGCAACGUGGACUUAAAGAUUAUAGAAGAACUACCUGGGAAGGUAGGCCAAAGAGAGUAAUAGCCUCGUAUUCGAAAUAGUCUUUAUACCUAGCAGUAUCCUGAGUACGGCGAGACACGAGAAAUCUCGUCGGAAUCUGGGAGGACCAUCUCCCAACCCUAAAUACUCUCUAGUGACCGAUAGUGAACCAGUACCGUGAGGGAAAGGUGAAAAGCACCCCGGGAGGGGAGUGAAAUAGAACCUGAAACCGUGUGCCUACAACAAGUUCGAGCCCGUUAAUGGGUGAGAGCGUGCCUUUUGUAGAAUGAACCGGCGAGUUACGAUAUGAUGCGAGGUUAAGUUGAAGAGACGGAGCCGUAGGGAAACCGAGUCUUAAUAGGGCGCAUUAGUAUCAUGUCGUAGACCCGAAACCAUGUGACCUACCCAUGAGCAGGUUGAAGGUGAGGUAAAACUCACUGGAGGACCGAACCAGGGCACGUUGAAAAGUGCUUGGAUGACUUGUGGGUAGCGGAGAAAUUCCAAACGAACUUGGAGAUAGCUGGUUCUCUCCGAAAUAGCUUUAGGGCUAGCGUCGAUGUUAAGUCUCUUGGAGGUAGAGCACUGUUUGGGUGAGGGGUCCAUCCCGGAUUACCAAUCUCAGAUAAACUCCGAAUGCCAAUGAGAUAUAAUCGGCAGUCAGACUGCGAGUGCUAAGAUCCGUAGUCGAAAGGGAAACAGCCCAGACCACCAGCUAAGGUCCCAAAAUAUAUGUUAAGUGGAAAAGGAUGUGGGGUUGCACAGACAACUAGGAUGUUAGCUUAGAAGCAGCUAUUCAUUCAAAGAGUGCGUAAUAGCUCACUAGUCGAGUGACCCUGCGCCGAAAAUGUACCGGGGCUAAAACAUAUUACCGAAGCUGUGGAUACCUUUAUAGGUAUGGUAGGAGAGCGUUCUAUGUGCGAAGAAGGUGUACCGUGAGGAGUGCUGGAGCGCAUAGAAGUGAGAAUGCCGGUAUGAGUAGCGAAAGACAGGUGAGAAUCCUGUCCACCGUAAGACUAAGGUUUCCAGGGGAAGGCUCGUCCGCCCUGGGUUAGUCGGGACCUAAGGAGAGACCGAAAGGUGUAUCCGAUGGACAACAGGUUGAUAUUCCUGUACUAGAGUAUAUAGUGAUGGAGGGACGCAGUAGGCUAACUAAACCAGACGAUUGGAAGUGUCUGGCCAAGCAGUGAGGUGUGAUAUGAGUCAAAUGCUUAUAUCUUUAACAUUGAGCUGUGAUGGGGAGCGAAGUUUAGUAGCGAAGUUAGUGAUGUCACCCUGCCGAGAAAAGCUUCUAGCGUUAAUUAUACUCUACCCGUCCCGAAACCCGACACAGGUAGUCGAGGCGAGUAGCCUCAGGUGAGCGAGAGAACUCUCGUUAAGGAACUCGGCAAAAUGGCCCCGUAACUUCGGGAGAAGGGGCGCUGACUGAUGGUCAGCCGCAGUGAAUAGGCCCAAGCAACUGUUUAUCAAAAACACAGCUCUCUGCUAAAUCGUAAGAUGAUGUAUAGGGGGUGACGCCUGCCCGGUGCUGGAAGGUUAAGAGGAGUGCUUAGCGUAAGCGAAGGCAUGAAUUGAAGCCCCAGUAAACGGCGGCCGUAACUAUAACGGUCCUAAGGUAGCGAAAUUCCUUGUCGGGUAAGUUCCGACCCGCACGAAAGGCGUAAUGAUUUGGGCACUGUCUCAACGAGAGACUCGGUGAAAUUUUAGUACCUGUGAAGAUGCAGGUUACCCGCGACAGGACGGAAAGACCCCAUGGAGCUUUACUGCAGUUUGAUAUUGAGUAUCUGUACCACAUGUACAGGAUAGGUAGGAGCCUAUGACCUCGGGACGCCAGUUUCGAGUGAGGCGUUGUUGGGAUACUACCCUUGUGUUAUGGCUACUCUAACCCAGAUAGGUUAUCCCUAUCGGAGACAGUGUCUGACGGGCAGUUUGACUGGGGCGGUCGCCUCCUAAAAGGUAACGGAGGCGCCCAAAGGUUCCCUCAGAAUGGUUGGAAAUCAUUCGCAGAGUGUAAAGGUAUAAGGGAGCUUGACUGCGAGAGCUACAACUCGAGCAGGGACGAAAGUCGGGCUUAGUGAUCCGGUGGUUCCGUAUGGAAGGGCCAUCGCUCAACGGAUAAAAGCUACCCUGGGGAUAACAGGCUUAUCUCCCCCAAGAGUUCACAUCGACGGGGAGGUUUGGCACCUCGAUGUCGGCUCGUCGCAUCCUGGGGCUGUAGUCGGUCCCAAGGGUUGGGCUGUUCGCCCAUUAAAGCGGCACGCGAGCUGGGUUCAGAACGUCGUGAGACAGUUCGGUCCCUAUCCGUCGCGGGCGUAGGAAAUUUGAGAGGAUCUGCUCCUAGUACGAGAGGACCAGAGUGGACUUACCGCUGGUGUACCAGUUGUUCUGCCAAGAGCAUCGCUGGGUAGCUAUGUAGGGAAGGGAUAAACGCUGAAAGCAUCUAAGUGUGAAGCCCACCUCAAGAUGAGAUUUCCCAUGAUUUUAUAUCAGUAAGAGCCCUGAGAGAUGAUCAGGUUGAUAGGUUAGAAGUGGAAGUGUGGUGACACAUGUAGCGGACUAAUACUAAUAGCUCGAGGACUUAUCCAA